rfam:Pan troglodytes isolate Yerkes chimp pedigree #C0471 (Clint) chromosome 19, whole genome shotgun sequence.
GCCUCCCGUGCCUACUGAGCUGAAACACAGUUGGUUUGUGUACACUGGCUCAGUUCAGCAGGAACAGGGG